CCCUUAGACACUCUAGGCGGCACGCGCGCUACAAUGGGUGGAAGAACGUGUUACUGCCUCCGAAAGGAGGGGUGAAUCACGAAUUCUUGCCCGUGAAUGGGAUAGUUUGUUGCAAUUUUCGGACUUGAACUAGGAAUCCCUUGUAAACAUGCUCAAGAAUAGCGUGUUGAAUACGUCCCUGCCGUUUGUACACACCGCCCGUCGUUUCUUCCGACUGAUACUCAUUGUGAGUUGCAAGGACCCUUUAUUGGGAAAUUGCUACAAAUGCUUUGUAUUGGAGGAAGAAAAAGUCGUAACA
rnacentral:rRNA from 1 species